ensembl:lncRNA
GGUCUGCUGCCCACCACUCCUUGAAGCAUCUUUAACCUGCAGUAACAUCCCGUCUGUCUGUCGAUUUGUCAAGACAUUUAUGUGUACCUUCAGAGAAACAGCGUACCAGUGUUAAGUUUAAGUACUCCAUCCUAGGUGCUGUCACAGCAAGUUUAGAACAAAUAUCAACAUAAGUGAAAUGACAUCUGGAGGAUUUCAGGCACUUCAGCUCCCAGCAGCACCUGCACAAAGUCACACGGCCUGCUAGCUUUUGUUUACUUCAGGGCCAUAUGCCGAGAAAUACAUGUAGCUUUAAGCAUUCGCAUUUAGACAGGCACACAAUCACCUCUCCCUGAUGCAUAUGCACACACAGUAAAUACAUUCACGGUGCAUCGGCACGCAUUCCUUAUAAAGCAAAGGAGGACAGUUAUGUUUUCAUCAUCAGCACCCAAAUCCACAGGAGAGGAAAACAAAGCCAGAUGAACACAUGGUGCUAAGAGCAGUGAUGGAUGGCAGAGAGUGGAGUGCAAUACAGAAGCAAAGAGGCUCCAGAGAUCACGAUGACAAGGCUGCAGGUUUUUCCUUCACUGUUUGUUUUCCUCCAGAUGCUGCAUGACAGACAACCCCUUCCUUUUACAGAAAUGCUUCUCGUCAUUAAUUAAACAUUAUCCACCUCAGCCCCUGAACAUAAGAGAGUAAGUCUUGGAAGUUUUUUUUUUUUUUUUUACGGCAGAUGUCAGAUGUUUGUGAUGUGCCACUGUGCUCGGAUGUCACCAGAGGAGAGUGAACCAGGUGGCGAACUGUAAGAACGCAAGGAGAAAAUGUAGAUUUCUGUGAGAUCACAUUUUGAAUAGAGAGGAACAGGAAAAAAUUCACAUAUAAGUAAGAUUCCUCUUCUUUACAAAAAAAAAAAAAAGGAGAAGGAGCUAGUUUCAGUGAUUCAAAGUUUCUUUUCAUCUCACUAAAGGCAUUAAAGAUCAAAACGUGUUGCCUGCAACUGUAGACCACAACAUGAAGGCUAUCAAAGCUUCUCAGAAUGCCAAUGAUCAAUCACACCACGACCC